UGGGGAAUAUUGGACAAUGGGCGGAAGCCUGAUCCAGCCAUGCCGCGUGUGUGAAGAAGGCCUUUUGGUUGUAAAGCACUUUAAGCGAGGAGGAGGCUACUUGGAUUAAUACUCUAGGAUAGUGGACGUUACUCGCAGAAUAAGCACCGGCUAACUCUGUGCCAGCAGCCGCGGUAAUACAGAGGGUGCGAGCGUUAAUCGGAUUUACUGGGCGUAAAGCGUGCGUAGGCGGCUUCUUAAGUCGGAUGUGAAAUCCCUGAGCUUAACUUAGGAAUUGCAUUCGAUACUGGGAAGCUAGAGUAUGGGAGAGGAUGGUAGAAUUCCAGGUGUAGCGGUGAAAUGCGUAGAGAUCUGGAGGAAUACCGAUGGCGAAGGCAGCCAUCUGGCCUAAUACUGACGCUGAGGUACGAAAGCAUGGGGAGCAAACAGG
rnacentral:rRNA from 8 species